rnacentral:tRNA from 1 species
UCCGAAUUGGUGUAGUGGCUAACAUUUGACGCUCUCAAUCACAUCCCACAACAUCUAUUGUGUGCUGUUGUUGAUGGAAGUGCCGUCAAGCCCGGGGUUCGAUUCCCCGAUUCGGAG